ensembl:lncRNA
CCUUACUUACUCCUGGGGUCUGGGUGAGCAUCUGGCCCCGACCUGGUAAAGGGUCGGUUUCGCCCAGCAGUAAGCCCUACAUGUGGACAGAGGACGAACACCGGACGAGCGAACGGAGACUACAUGCAACAAGUGGUGACCCCGACGUGAUCUGUCUGCUGAGGGUGGCUGCCCGGCGUGCCCGUGACGCGGUUAAGAGCCUGCGAGGUGGCGGCAGGUCGCAUGCGUAACAAUGGACCAAGUCAUUAAGGUACUUGUGCAGUUUUGUAAGGACUACUGUGGAAAAUCUGCUCCUUCCCGGAAGGAGAUCGCGGCAGUUUUGUCGCUAUUAAAUGAGCUGGGGGAGCUGGACUCUCCCCGCUACGUUUUGGAUUCGAGUAGGUGGGACUUGCUCACCUCGGUGCUAUGCCAGCGCGCCAUGGCCAGUCAGAAGGCUACGGAACUUAAAACGUGGGGACUGAUAUUAGGAGCCCUUAAAGCGGCCAGAGUUGAGGGAAAGGUAUUGGUGGAGGCUCGAUACCUUUUGGGUCUCAGCGGAGGAGGUGAGACACAGGACCCGGUCGGGUCCGAUGGGGGUUCGGGAGCAGUUUCUUGCAGGGGCCGAGAGGAGACGGAGCCGCCAAUGACCGUUGGCGGGAUGGCGCCGGCUGAGCCGACCGCGCUCAGUUCAAAAGAAGACAAACAACAAGAGAGUGAAAGUUCGUUGUCUCGUCCCCCUCCCCCGUAUCCGAACCCCUCAGGCGGAACGUUGUAUCCUUUAUCAGAAUUACGUCAGUGUUACCUGACUCAAGGGGGCGGAGGAAGCUGUGAUCUACACGGGCAGGAUCAACUUAGUGCCCACAUGGGGAGGGACCAGACAAAAGGUCCGUCCAAAGCGGACAGGGGGCAUAGCCUACUGUCUCUGGUCACUCCCAGGGGCGGUAGUGCGAGUGAUAGUGUAGAAGAGAAAGAAGGGACUGGCUUUGAGUGCAGGGGGAGGGAUCAAAUGACGGACUGGAAUGGGAUUAGAUCGGAGGCUUUGGGAAAGGGUAUAGUUCCAGAGGCAUUCCGGGUGAUUGUGAGUGAUCGUGGUCCCGAAUGGGUGCCGCCUGACCCCGGGGGUGUUACGCGCCUGGUGGAAUUUAUGGAUAAAAGAGGCCUGAAAUCACCUCUGACAUUAAAUGCACUACAAACUUUGGCUGCACUGGGGCCUCUCUUCCCCCGUGACAUCACAAACUUAAUGCGUACGGUGCUCAGGCUGGUUCAAUAUACGUUAUGGGAGACGGAUUGGGUGGCCGAGUUGGGGGGCCGUGCCGGGGCGACAGGGGUCGGCCCGCGCCGCUUGGGACCGGAAUACAGUGGCUUUCAGGGAAGGCCGUGGGAGUGGCUUCGCCCCAGGGCCAGCUAGCGAGACUAAGGCCAGGGGAGCUAAUAGCAGCCACAGAUGCAGUGGUGGAAGCGUUUAAUAAACUUGUGCAUAAGGCCGAACCACCUACUCCGUGCACAGAUAUUACCCAGGGCCCGAAUGAAUCCUUUCAAAGCUUUACAGACAGGCUUUUAGCUGCUGCAGAGGGGUCUGAUCUCCUGGUACCGGCCCAAGGGCCAGUGAUCAUUGACUGCUUGCAGCAGAAAUCGCAUGACAAUGUUAAGGCAUUGCUGCGAGCCGGCCGAAGUACGCUUAAUACCUCGGGAGAAGUUAUUCAGUAUGUCUUAGAUAAGCUCAAGGUGGCUCAUUUAACUAAUGAAAGGCUAGUCACAGCUAUUGUCGUAGCUGUUGGCCUGUGACAGCAAAGAUCGCUGCAGCAGCAAGGGCUGCGUUUCCGAUACGGCCAGUAUGACCAUGUUAGAGCACAGUGCCCCUGUGGGGGAGGCCAGUCAGGGCCUCCUGAUCACAGGAAGGGCUUGCUAAAGGGUAUCCGUGGUCGGGUAUGCAGCAGUUAAAUAUCAUGAAUCUGGGAAAUUCUGUGGGUACCAUCGCGAAAAGUAAUACCAGAUAUAAGUAGCAUAUCUGCAAAAACUGAGUCUAGGUGCGAGUUUUCUACAGAAAUUCUUCGUUGGCAGACCGAAGCCAACUCCAGAACAACUGAGGGACAGACGAUGGGAUCAAGAACCACUCGUCAAGAGGAGCACUACACCUGCAACGCUGACACUUCCAAUGUUGCUGAUAUUUAUGGUGUCCAUGGCGAUUACAGAGUGUCACAAACAACUACAAUGGACACAAGAACAUAUGCAGAAAAUUAAAGAAGAGCGUGAUCCCUUUGGAAGCUGGCUGGACGGACUGUUUGGGGGAAUGGGUUCAUGGUUAAAGCAAUUGCUUAAAGCUCUCGCAGUAGGAUUUGCAAUCUUUGUGUGUAUUCUAAUCUGUCUUCCAUGCUUUGUAGGAUGCUUGCAGAACUGCCUUCAACGAAUGAUGGAAAAGACUUUUGACUAUCACAUUGAGUAUCAUAGAUUGCGUGAAAAAUUAUAGAGGGGUUUAGGUUGUUGCGUUCGUGCUGUAACGGGGCAAGGCUUGGCCGAGCACGGAAAAGAAUUCCCUGUUGCUCUGAUGAUUGCUUAAGAACUGUAGUAGAAAAUAGUAGGAAUAGUGUGCUGAAAUAUAUUUAGGAUUAGGCGUUUUGCGCUGCUUCGCGAUGUACGGGUUAGGCCUCUCCCUAAACAUAGAGAGAUAGUGCUAUCGUGCUGACCUUGUUGCAGAGAAAACAGGAGAAGAAGAAGGAUGAUAAAAGAAUGUGGAAAUGGCCAAAUAAGGCACAAUGUUAUCUGGUGUGAACUAAUCAGAGUGGGACAUGACAGCACGGUUAUCUAGGUAAAAAUGUAUAUAAGCUGUGUUUAGUAGUGAAUAAACGCCAUUUGCCUUACUUACUCCUGGGGUCUGGGUGAGCAUCUGGCCCCGACCUGGUAAAGGGUCGGUUUCGCCCAGCAGUAAGCCCUACAUGUGGACAGAGGACGAACACCGGACGAGCGAACGGAGACUACAUGCAACAUUCUGCUGUCAUUACGGUUUUCCCUCUUUUUCACUGUGCAUCAAAUGGGAAACAUAUUCUUUAAUCCUUUAAAUUGUUAAGAAUUUUUUUUUAAAAAGAGUUAACAUCUUAAUGCCAUCUCACACUGACUAAAGAAAGAAAGAAGAAGGAAUUGGUUUCAUUUAUACGAAAUGAAAGUUUUUCCAAUGACACUGGUACAAUAAUAUGCAUAAGAAAAACAUAAACCACUUAGAAAUCAUUCAAUAAUAUUUCUAAAUUUGCAGACAUGAAAAUAAUCAUCAUAUGUUUAAAUAUUUGGUGUAUUUUGAAUUUUUAAUUUGCAUAAUGUCAGAGUUAUAACCAAUGCUAACUUUAAAGAGUUGAGUUUGAAUCAUUAAUACAUAGGUUUUUGUUUUGUUUUGUUUUUUAAUCAAACACCAGUAGUAUUAUUUAUUUAGCUUGGUCUAUUCCCUCUUCUCUUCAUUAGCUGUUUUUGGCAUGGAGUUCAGGUAUUCUACUGGAAAAAAAAGAGUUUUGUAAAUAUUUUACAUUGAUGUGUUAGUGUAGGCUAGCCAAAACCCAAAGCUGUCAACCUGUUCUGUGCCUCCAGCAUUAAAACUAGCUUAAAAGAAUGGUAAUGACAGGCAAGUUUCUUAAUUUUACAGCUAUUUUAGAACAAUAUUGAUGCUGUAAAUGGAAAAUACAGUUGAUAUUAUAUAAAAU